rnacentral:rRNA from 1 species
GGAUGAAUAUUGGUCAAUGGCCGAGAGGCUGAACCAGCCAAGUCGCGUGAAGGACGAAGGAUCUAUGGUUUGUAAACUUCUUUUAUAGGGGAAUAAAGUGCGGCACGUGUGCCGUUUUUGUAUGUACCCUAUGAAUAAGCAUCGGCUAACUCCGUGCCAGCAGCCGCGGUAAUACGGAGGAUGCGAGCGUUAUCCGGAUUUAUUGGGUUUAAAGGGUGCGUAGGUGGCUGUUUAAGUCAGCGGUGAAAGUUUGUGGCUCAACCAUAAAAUUGCCGUUGAAACUGGGUAGCUUGAGUAUGUUUGAGGUAGGCGGAAUGCGUGGUGUAGCGGUGAAAUGCAUAGAUAUCACGAAGAACUCCGAUUGCGAAGGCAGCUUGCUAGACCGUAACUGACGCUGAUGCUCGAAAGUGCGGGUAUCAAACAGGAUUAGAUACC